rnacentral:lncRNA from 1 species
GUUCAGGGCAUGUUUGUACUAACUUAUCUGGGUAAAGGGAAAGCUGAUCCUUUAAAUUAUAUUUGCUGUGACUCUGGAAACUGAGCAAACAAAGUCUGAGGGAAACUUCACUCUCAAGCAGAACUGACAGAAGGUACGAGGACCGAAGCUCAGGGAUCUUCUGUAGGACACACCUGCCUCAGGAUUCACAACUGAAUUGCAAAUCUCUAACAACCUGGGGAGUUUAGUCCAGACUUGUUGGACAUACCUCAUCCCGAUGGCAAAUGAGAGACUGGUUCAGCCCCAGAUUGUCAGACUACUACUUUGGUCUUCUUGAACUACGGGGAAAUAUGUUUGCCUGCAAAGCACAUUCAGUUCUAAUUCAAAUAAAGCUGAUGGAGUUGUGGAGGCUACCUGUCUUCUGCUGCUCUGCUGCUGAUCCAUCGUCUCAGUUGCCAUAGAGACAAGAUCUGGAAGCCAUGGAUGGGCAUGGAAGAGAAGCCGCCCGCAGACUUUCUGCCGGUCGGCUCCGGCAGGGCCUUUCUCAGCAGGUACUGAGAGAGUCAGGUUCAGUCUCUGAAGGUGAGGAAGAGUCAGAAGGUGCUAAUCCAGUGACCCACGAGAGGGACUUGCACACACAUUACAUUGCCAUUCAAAGAAAUUCCAGGUACUACCGGUCCAUGAGGCUGCCGAGCAGAGAGAAAAGAAAGACUUCAAGAGAGGCAGUGCACAUGGGGCAUGCUACAGGUUCACUCAAAAACAACGAGCCCAUCAAAGAGCCUCUGAACGUUUUAUCUCAUAAGGGAUCACCAUCUCCAGUAAACUCUGAUAAGACGUUAGACGAACUAUGGAUCCAAAGGGAGCUGAACCAUGGUUACGCUCAUGUCACCAGAGCAUGGCCAUCUAACGAUGGCCAUGAGGAUCAUUUCUAGUGCCUGCCUGCUUGGGGAUCCUAAGAAUUCCAGAGACAAAACUGUGCUUUGGUCUGUCAGGGUGUUGCAUGACUUCUGUCACCAGCAAGAGCACAGGGCACUCAGCACCAUUUGUGUGAUGCUGGGGUAAGAUUUUUAACUAGUUGCUUUAAUGUAUGUUGUUCUAGUAGUCAGAUUCUUUCUUCUCCCCUACAACUAGACAGAGAAUUAUAGGAUGAAAUACAGGGGUUUUGGUCAGAAAACUGAUUUGUCAUGAUGAGAUUCUACUGAUUUUGAUGAUAUGGGGGAAAGCUGUUUAGGCUCUGUAUCAAAUUCAUUGUUGAUAAGUGAGAGAGAAAAGAAAACCUCCUCCAAAC